UACAGAGGUCUCAAGCGUUGUUCGGAUUCAUUGGGCGUAAAGGGUGCGUAGGUGGCGCUGUAAGUCGGGUGUGAAAUUUCGGAGCUCAACUCCGAAACUGCAUUCGAUACUGCGGUGCUUGAGGACUGGAGAGGAGACUGGAAUUCAUGGUGUAGCAGUGAAAUGCGUAGAUAUCUGGAGGAACACCGGUGGCGAAGGCGGCAUCCUGGACCGGCAUUGACGCUGAGGCGCGAAAGCCAGGGGAGCAAACAGG
rnacentral:rRNA from 1 species